rnacentral:rRNA from 1 species
AGAGUUUGAUCCUGGCUCAGAACGAACGCUGGCGGCGUGCUUAACACAUGCAAGUCGAACGCGAAAGUUUUCUUCGGAAAAUGAGUAGAGUGGCGCACGGGUGAGUAACGCGUAAAUAAUCUACCCCUGCAUUCGGGAUAACCCACCGAAAGGUGUGCUAAUACCGGAUACGUUCUUUAAACUGCGAGGUUUAAAGAAGAAAGGUGGCCUCUGAUAUAAGCUACUGUGCGGGGAGGAGUUUGCGUACCAUUAGCUAGUUGGUAGGGUAAUGGCCUACCAAGGCAACGAUGGUUAGCGGGUCUGAGAGGAUGAUCCGCCACACUGGAACUGGAACACGGACCAGACUCCUACGGGAGGCAGCAGUGAGGAAUAUUGCGCAAUGGGGGCAACCCUGACGCAGCGACGCCGCGUGGAUGAUGAAGGCCUUCGGGUCGUAAAAUCCUGUCAGAUGGAAAGAAAUGUAUAUGUAUUAAUAGUAUGUAUGCUUGACGGUACCAUCAAAGGAAGCACCGGCUAACUCCGUGCCAGCAGCCCGCGGUAAUACGGAGGGUGCAAGCGUUGUUCGGAAUUACUGGGCGUAAAGCGCGCGUAGGUGGGUCUGUUAUGUCAGAUGNNGAAAGUCCACGGCUCAACCGGUGGAAGUGCA